rnacentral:rRNA from 1 species
UUUGCAUAUUCCAAAAGCGGAGGAAAAGAAACCAACAGGGAUUGCCCUAGUAACGGCGAGUGAAGCGGCAACAGCUCAAAUUUGAAAUCUGGCCUCUUUUGGGGUCCGAGUUGUAAUUUGCAGAGGGCGCUUUGGAGUCGGCAGCGGUCCAAGUUCCUUGGAACAGGACGUCACAGAGGGUGAGAAUCCCGUACGUGGUCGCUAGCCUUCUCCGUGUAAAGCCCCUUCGACGAGUCGAGUUGUUUGGGAAUGCAGCUCUAAAUGGGAGGUAAAUUUCUUCUAAAGCUAAAUAUUGGCCAGAGACCGAUAGCGCACAAGUAGAGUGAUCGAAAGAUGAAAAGCACUUUGGAAAGAGAGUCAAAAAGCACGUGAAAUUGUUGAAAGGGAAGCGCUUGCAGCCAGACUUGCCUGUAGUUGCUCAUCCGGGCUUUUGCCCGGUGCACUCUUCUAUAGGCAGGCCAGCAUCAGUUUGGGCGGUUGGAUAAAGGUCUCUGUCAUGUACCUCUCUUCGGGGAGAACUUAUAGGGGAGACGCCAUGCAACCAGCUCAGACUGAGGUCCGCGCAUUCGCUAGGAUGCUGGCGUAAUGGCUGUAAGCGGCCCGUCUUGAAACACGGACCCAAC